AUUGACGUUAGUCACAGAAGAAGCACCGGCUAACUCCGUGCCAGCAGCCGCGGUAAUACGGAGGGUGCGAGCGUUAAUCGGAAUGACUGGGCGUAAAGGGCACGCAGGCGGUGACUUAAGUGAGAUGUGAAAGCCCCGAGCUUAACUUGGGAAUUGCAUUUCAUACUGGGUUGCUAGAGUAUUUUAGGGAGGGGUAGAAUUCCACGUGUAGCGGUGAAAUGCGUAGAGAUGUGGAGGAAUACCGAAGGCGAAGGCAGCCCCUUGGGAAAAUACUGACGCUCAUGUGCGAAAGCGUGGGGAGCAAACAGGAUUAGAUACCCUGGUAGUCCACGCUGUAAACGCUGUCGAUUUGGGGAUUGGGCUUAGAGCUUGGUGCCCGUAGCUAACGUGAUAAAUCGACCGCCUGGGGAGUACGGCCGCAAGGUUAAAACUCAAAUGAAUUGACGGGGGCCCGCACAAGCGGUGGAGCAUGUGGUUUAAUUCGAUGCAACGCGAAGAACCUUACCUACUCUUGACAUCCUAAGAAGAACUCAGAGAUGAGUUUGUGCCUUCGGGAACUUAGAGACAGGUGCUGCAUGGCUGUCGUCAGCUCGUGUUGUGAAAUGUUGGGUUAAGUCCCGCAACGAGCGCAACCCUUAUCCUUUGUUGCCAGCGAUUCGGUCGGGAACUCAAAGGAGACUGCCAGUGAUAAACUGGAGGAAGGUGGGGAUGACGUCAAGUCAUCAUGGCC
rnacentral:rRNA from 1 species